CAGGUAUUAGUACACUCUCUUGAUAAGUAUUUGGUGCAUACUGUGUGCCUGGUGCUAUUCUAUCAGAGGGGCUCAGCUAGGAUAGAUAAGGUUCCUGCCCUCAAGGAGUUUGCUUUAUCAGGAGGAAGGCAGAAGAUAAGCAGCAAAGAAGCAUUCAGACAAGGUAACUUUGAUGAUGACCAUUGCUUUGAAGGGACUAACAGUGAUUGGAGGAAGUGACCUUAGAUAGGGAGUUAGGGAGGCGAACAUGAGAUGAGAUAACCCACAUUACUAUUGAUAAGGUUAUUAUUCUUCCUUCCAAGAUGAACAUUUUAUCUACUAACUCUCUUCCAGUUUUGGUAGUGGGGAUUGAACCCAGGAGCACCUAACCACUGAGCCACGUCCCAGACCUUUGUAAUAUUUUACUUAGAGACAGGACCUCGCUAAGUUGCUGAGACUGGCUUUGAAUUCACCAUCCUCCUGCCUCAGCAUCCCCAGCCACUGGGAUUAAGGUGGACACAAUGUCUUUAUUUUAUUUUUAUGUGGUGUUGAGGAUCGAACCCAGUACCUCAUGCCUGCUAGGCUUAGAUUCUCCUUGAGUCCAGGACUUGAUUCCAGAUAAACAGCACAUCUCCCCCUGAAAGGUUUUGGAUCACACACCUUUAUCCAGAUGGUCUCACUACAUUGUCCAGACUGGCCUCAAUAUUGAGAUCCACCUGCGUCAGCCUCCCUAGUAGCUGCCAUUGUAGGCAUGUGUCAUUGCUCUGCAUCAAGGACCAAAAGUGGCUUGAAUUUUCAACCUUUCCAGUGGGCUCCUUAUAUCCAGAACUUCUCUGUGACAAAAACUGCAGACUGGGAAAGUACCCUGACGUGCUUUGGUUGCCUGGUUCAUCGAUCCCCAGCCCACUCUCAUCCCUGGGCAGAGAGGAUGCAAAGCAGGAGAGAACAACUUUAGUAAUAGAAGAACCUGGUUAUCAGAUGAUGCAUGCGAGCAGUGGCAGUGUUUUGCAAAAGGAGACCGCAUAAAUUUAAGAUACGGAGGAAGGGAACUCCAUGCAGGAGAUAAAACAGAAGAAACUGGGGUGGAAGCAGAACUUGAAGUGUCAAGAGCCAGGAGGGUUGGAGUUGCAGGCAGUGCUCAUCAGGCAAUGCAGCAGCAGUGCAGGGAGAGAAGGAUUCAAAAGGGACAAGUCUCCGGGAGAUGAGUUUUCAGCCUCACCUUGAGCCCCAAGGAAUGGAGCCAGCUUUCUCUAUGGACUAAGACCUCUGAAACGCUGCAGCCAGAGCAGAACCUAAGGAUGUGUGGUUGGGAGUCAGCAACUCCAAGCCUCAGAACAGCAAUCCGGUUUCUAUAUCUUCCAAGGGGUGGGGGCCGUUUUUCAGAUGGGGAUUUAUUUUUCACUCUGUGCUUUUCUACAGUGAGUUUUGGGAUACUCCUCCUCAUUCCUAGCCUCUGUGGACUUGAUAAUGCUCCAGUCAGUACUGGAGUAAUUGAAGAGAGGUAAAUGGCCCAGAGGCUGAUAGGAUCGAACCCAGGGCCUCGCACAUUCGAGGUGAGCGCUCUACCACUGAGCCACAACCCCAGCCCAAGGAGGAUCUCUUGUUAGAGAAGACAGAUCUGAUUUAUACACCUUAAACAGGGAGGAGCGGAGCCCGAGGUGAAGAGGCUGAGGGUCUACGGAGGCCUGACCGCAGUUCUGCUUUUCCGAAGAGGUGGAGAAAAGCCGUAUCUGUGGAACAUACAUUCCAGUGGGAAGGGAGACAGACAGUAAAAAUCAACGCAUAUUCUGUCAAGCGAGGUUGUUUUUCUCAGGUGUUUUGUCACAGCAACAUCAAGCUGACAGACACAGUGGCACAUCUGCCUUCAGAGGAGAUUCUAUUAGAUGACCUUUUGCAAAUGAAGUCCAUCAUAGAGGACGGAAUGGGAUAUGAGGACAGAGUGCCAUACCAUGGUGGAAACUUUGAUAUAUUUCAAGUAAUCCUGGCAGCUGGGGCAUCCGGAGUUCUUCUCAUCAGCCUUCAUCCUGAACAUUCCCCCUCCAUUUCAGUUGGGUAGCUCUUUGGUUACUGCUUCGAGUUCCACAUGCUGGGGGAAAAGAAUUCAUCUCUAAAUGAAGAAAAAAUUCUCCAGUUAGCAGAUCUAUAACCAUGCACACUAGUACCUUCUGGGACUUAGGACUUUUCAAUGCAUGGUCAAGUUCAGACAGCCCCCAAAGACAUCUGAGGUCCAUUAAGUUCAGAUUUACAUUCUUACCCAACAAAUGGCAGUACUUCAGAAAGUUUGUUUAUUUAACAUAAAACGCAAUAAAAAAAAGUUUUGGCCCCUAGAGUACAGAGUUUAUGUGACUUCAUGCCCCUCUUUCUGGGGUAGAAUAAACAAAACAGGGAAAUGGCAAAAUCUAUAGGAUCCUUCUGCCUCAGCCUCCCCAGUAGCUAGGAUUACAGGUGUGUGCAACCAUACCUGACAAGAUUUUUUAUUUUUUAAUGUAUGACUAGGUCAACUUCAAUAUAAAAAAAUUUUCAAGAGUUUAUUGGAUUUUUUUGAUUGUACUGGAAUUAAUGAUAUUAAAUAUUGCUAGAAAUAAGUGGGCCCGGCUAGGACCUUGAGAUUAUUAUUAUUUUUUUGUCACAAUUAUAUUCACUGUAAUAGAAUUUGGUUUUCCUGGAACUAAAAGUUCCUACCAAGAGCUUUAUUAAAAUCCACACAUCUAUCAAAGAUUUGAACUCCUGCUUCAAGUUAUUCUUGGAACUAAGGUAAAGAAUUGCCCAGUUCACAUUUCAGAGGUGAGAGACACAGAGGUGAGAGAGGCUUGUCAUGAAGUCCUGCAGCCAAGGAGUCCUGGAGGAUGAGCAGUGAUUGCUCUUCAAACAGCCUCAGAGCAGACAAGGUGUGCAGAGGUAAUGCCAGGUCCUAAUGCAAAAGUGGUCAGCCUGGAGGUGGGGCUUGAUGUUGACUGACCCCUCACCACCCACAUCUCCCACCCCAGGAUGCCAGGGAGGCACCUAAGAGAGGCCCCGACCCCUGACUUCCCCUGACCCCAGACUGGCAGUCUUUCUUCCCUGCUGCUUUCUACAGUGUCUCUCAUCAUGAUUGUAACACCCAUCAUGUCAACACAGUAUCUGUGAGAGCUGUUGAAAAGGUACUGCUUUUGGAAACUGCCAGCGGAGAACCAGGCUGGCUCCACAUCCUACCCCACUCUCGGUGGCUCCUUUCUUUAAAUGAGCCUAUUUAAUGAGUCUAGAAUAUUCCAUUAACCAAUUGAGUACAGCUGCCAACAGGAAUGUUCCAAAGAAAAUAAAUGAAAACUUGUCUACUUUGCACUGUUUUGAUGGGCAGCCUCUUUAAAAUCGUGGUGCCUGGUCUGUCUCCUCUCGGGAUGUAGUGCAUUAGAACAAAGUGACCCUGAGAGGCCUAAGAAAUGGUUUCAUGCAGUGAUACUUCACAGCUUCCUUUUUUUCCUACUCUAUACUCCUCCCUCCUCGGUGCCUAAGGCUCUGUCUGGGAAGAAGCUCCACAUUUAAAAGGUACAUUAACUCUUUGGAGCCUAACUCUUUGGCUUGCAAAUCUAAACAACAAACUUUAUUAUUUAAAGAUCAAAUCUAUCCAGCCAACCUCUGAAAAAUGCUCUCGCAUUGCUUCGGAUAACAAGUCUGUGUUGAUGAGUUUGAAAAGUGAAGAAAACUCUAGCCACAUGAAAUAACCCAUAUCAAUCUUUUUUUCCAUGUUAACAAGUGUGGAGUUUUCUUAGUAGAAACUGAACAUGGUGGAGGUCAGAAACCUGACCUACGGCUGGCUCCCCUGUUCUGCCUUCCCAGGCCUGAAUCAGGGGCUGGCGGGCUGAGCUCUUUUCUGAAGGCUCAGGGGAAGAAUCUACUUCCCAGCUUAUUCAGGUUUUUGGCAGAAUCCAGGUCCUUGUGGUUGCAGGACUGAGGUCCCAUUUCCUUGCUGGCUGUCAUCUGGGAGCUGUGCUCAGCUCUUAGAGGCUUCUCCUGACAAAGCCUUGCCAAAAAAAAAAAAAAAAAAGGUCAGGACUUGAAAAACGGAAUUUAACCCUUGUGAGCCCUGAAGACUGAACUCUGAGGGACGCUCAAGACAUAUCAGGCUCAAGCAUUUUUCAAUGCAGUGUCUCUUCUGGUUAGUUAUUGGGUAUUUAAGGGUUCUCCAACUUUGGUCUAAUUAUUUUAUGCUGUUCCCAAGA